CCUACGGGAGGCAGCAGUGGGGAAUUUUCCGCAAUGGGCGAAAGCCUGACGGAGCAAUACCGCGUGAGGGAUGACGGCCUAUGGGUUGUAAACCUCUUUUUUCAGGGAGGAAUAAAUGACGUGUACCUGAAGAAUAAGCAUCGGCUAACUCCGUGCCAGCAGCCGCGGUAA
rnacentral:rRNA from 1 species